UGUCACCACACCAACUGACCCAGAAUGGCCAUGGCUGAAGCCUGCUGGAUGUCACCACCUGCUCUUUGCCACCCAUUCUUUUCUGGUUUGCCUUCUCCUAUCUUGCUUCCAGUCUACCAGCUUCAAAAGGAAAAAAGCUAGCUGAAGAGACCUGCACUACUGGUUAUUUGAUGCAUCCAGCCCCUCAGCCAUGUAAAUUUUCUUACAUACAAAUGUUCAUUGCCAUCUUUUACAUUCCUCUGCUGACAGUGAAGAGGUCGUGCUAAAUCAAACUGAUGGAGAAACUGGACAUCAUCUUUACCCUGAAUGCCCAGAUUAAUUCUACCAGAACAGAGGUGUCAGUACUGAGAAAGAUGAAUCAUUUAUUAGUGGGAGGCCUGACACAUGAUGAAAUCACUAUCUGACACUUCAAUGACUUCCAAUGUUGUUCUGUGAACAUUCAGCAAAGUGCAG
rnacentral:lncRNA from 1 species